UGUUCCCGAAAUUUUUUUUUGCAACAGAGUUUGAUCCUGGCUCAGAACGAACGCUGGCGGCAAGCUUAACACAUGCAAGUCGAACGGACCUAGUUUAUAGCUUGCUAUAAACUAGGUUAGUGGCAGACGGGUGAGUAAUGCAUAGGAAUCUACCCAGUAGUACGGGAUAGCCACUAGAAAUGGUGGGUAAUACUGUAUAAUCCCCGCGGGGGAAAGAUUUAUCGCUAUUGGAUGAGCCUAUGUUAGAUUAGCUAGUUGGUGGGGUAAUGGCCUACCAAGGCUGUGAUCUAUAGCUGGUCUGAGAGGAUGAUCAGCCACACUGGAACUGAGAUACGGUCCAGACUCCUAUGGGAGGCAGCAGUGGGGAAUAUUGGACAAUGGGCGCAAGCCUGAUCCAGCUAUGCCGCGUGAGUGAGGAAGGCCUUAGGGUUGUAAAACUCUUUCAGUAGGGAAGAUAAUGACGGUACCUACAGAAGAAGUCCCGGCAAACUCCGUGCCAGCAGCCGCGGUAAUACGGAGGGGGCAAGCGUUGUUCGGAAUUAUUGGGCGUAAAGGGCAUGUAGGCGGUUUGGUAAGUUAAAAGUGAAAUGCCAGGGCUCAACCUUGGAGCUGCUUUUGAUACUGCCAGACUAGAGUCCGGGAGAGGAUAGCGGAAUUCCUAGUGUAGAGGUGAAAUUCGUAGAUAUUAGGAGGAACACCAGUGGCGAAGGGGUUCGGCCCGGAAAAAAAAAAAAAAAAGGGGGGG
rnacentral:rRNA from 1 species